CAACACUCAAGCUCAGCUUGGUCUUGAGCCUAGCCGGUCACGGCGGGCUUUAAAAUUAGUGGCGGUGCCACCUGGCUCUAAGCGUAGUAAUACUCCUCGCUAUUGAGUUCUGGUGGACGCUGGCCAGCAACCCCCAACUUUCUAA
rnacentral:misc_RNA from 2 species